CGGUAAAACGCGCUGGAGGACCGAACCCACGUAAGUUGAAAAUUGCGGGGAUGAGUUGUGGGUAGCGGUGAAAUUCCAAACGAACUUGGAGAUAGCUGGUUCUCUCCGAAAUAGCUUUAGGGCUAGCCUCGCAAAGAGGAUGCUGGAGGUAGAGCUCUGUUUGGACUAGGGGCCCGUCAAGGGUUACUGAAUUCAGAUAAACUGCGAAUUCCAGACAUUUAUGUGCGGGAGUCAGACUGCGAGUGAUAAGAUCCGUAGUCGAAAGGGAAACAGCCCAGAUCACCAGUUAAGGUCCCAAAAUUCAUGCUAAGUGGAAAAGGAUGUGGAGUUGCGCAGACAACUAGGACGUUGGCUCAGAAGCAGCCAUCAUUCAAAGAGUGCGUAAUAGCUCACUAGUCGAGUGACGCCGCGCCGAAAAUUUACCGGGGCUAAGCAUGAUACCGAAACUGUGGAUGUGCAUUUAUGCACGUGGUAGGAGAGCGUUCUAGCGGCGGUGAAGCAUGACCGAGAGGACAUGUGGAGCUUCUAGAAGUGAGAAUGCCGGUAUGAGUAACGAAAGACAGGUGAGAAUCCUGUCCGCCGCAAGACUAAGGUUUCCUGGGGCAGGCUCGUCCGCCCAGGGUAAGUCGGGACCUAAGGCGAGGCCGAGAGGCGUAGUCGAUGGACAACAGGUUGAAAUUCCUGUACUGCACCGAAUCGUUAUGAGCGAUGGAGGGACGCAGGAGGCUAGCAGCGCGUGGUGCUGGAUACCACGUUCAAGCGUCAAGUCUGAGAGUGAGUCAAAUGCUUGCUCUCAUAAGGACAAGGCGUGAUGAGGAGCGAAAUUAAAGUAGCGAAGGCUGCGACGUCACACUGCCGAGAAAAGCUUCUAGCCAGAGACGGUGCACCCGUACCGCAAACCGACACAGGUAGUCGAGGAGAGUAUCCUCAGGUGAGCGAGAGAACUCUCGUUAAGGAACUCGGCAAAAUGGCCCCGUAACUUCGGGAGAAGGGGCGCUGGUCGCAAGAUCAGCCGCAGUGAAAAGGCCCAAGCAACUGUUUAUCAAAAACACAGGCAUCUGCAAAAUCGUAAGAUGAAGUAUAGGUGCUGACACCUGCCCGGUGCUGGAAGGUUAAGAGGAGAGCUUAGCGCAAGCGAAGGUUUGAAUUGAAGCCCCAGUAAACGGCGGCCGUAACUAUAACGGUCCUAAGGUAGCGAAAUUCCUUGUCGGGUAAGUUCCGACCUGCACGAAAGGUGUAAUGAUUUGGGCACUGUCUCAACGAGAGACUCGGUGAAAUUAUAAUACCCGUGAAGAUGCGGGUUACCCGCGACAGGACGGAAAGACCCCAUGGAGCUUUACUGCAGUUUAAUAUUGGGUAUCUGUCAAGCAUGUACAGGAUAGGUAGGAGCCGGAGAAGAUAGGACGCCAGUCUUAUCAGAGGCGCUGUUGGGAUACUACCCUUGCUUGACGGAUGCUCUAACUCAGGUCUGUGAUCCAGGCCGAGGACAGUGUUUGACGGGCAGUUUGACUGGGGCGGUCGCCUCCUAAAGUGUAACGGAGGCGCCCAAAGGUUCCCUCAGAAUGGUUGGAAAUCAUUCGCAGAGUGUAAAGGUAAAAGGGAGCUUGACUGCGAGAGAGACAACUCGAGCAGGUACGAAAGUAGGGCUUAGUGAUCUGGUGGUACCGUAUGGAAGGGCCAUCACUCAACGGAUAAAAGCUACCCUGGGGAUAACAGGCUUAUCUCC
rnacentral:rRNA from 1 species